AGUCGCGUGGUCGCAGAGCAUCGUUGCGGACGCACCGUCAAUUUUGUCAAAGUUUUCGUGGGAAUUAUAGGUUCAAUACUAUCUUUCUCCGUUGCAAAAAAAUUUAAAAAAAUGGAAUUUGGGAAAAAGAAGAACUAUGCAGAGUUUUCUUGCACGAACAUAUUCCUCAUCUUACUUAUCUUCCUCAGAAGAUGAGGAGAGCGACUAAAUGGAAUCAGAACUUGUCUCUGCGUAAUCAUAGUCACCUAGAUCAUCAUUUGAAUCUCUUUCUUCUUGUGAAAGGUCAAAGUCAAGUCAAAGAAUUACAUCGAUCUGCAUUUUACAGUCAACAACCAACUGCUACGUGACAGACCGUUAGCUAAAUAAAAUGUACAAGAUACACUGUGUCAAAUUAAUAUCGUCUUCGUUUAAGACGCAAACUGUAAAUAAAUUCAAUUCAAUUGUUUCCUACGUAGCCAAAUCAAUUUCCCCAGUUCGUAAUUUGUAGCACCUGUCUUCCUAUCUUUUAAGAAGAAAGCGUGGCGAUCGGGAUGUUAAAUGUGGCAAUUGUCUAUGAAUCCCAAUUUCAAAAAAUAAACGCCAUCACUUAAAACGCAAAUUCAAAGCAUGGCAACAGAAAACGAACCUUACCCAAUCAAAUCGAACUGUUUAUAGAAAACCUCGCGUUUCACCAACCACUGUUAAGACUAAAUAGCAAGCAACCUAGACGAAAACAGUAAUAUUAAAAAAUAUCUUCUAUCACAAACAAAACUGUCUACUAUUCAGUCAACUCAUGCAUACCAAUAAACCCAAAUGAAUUUCAUGUUUCUGACUGUUGCAAAAUCAUCACGCAUGACAGAUACCUUAUGAACCUAUCAAUUACAAAUCUUAGAGAAACCAAAUUAAUUUACAAUUAUCUACGAUUGAAUAUCGCCUACCAAAUAGGAAAUAAAGCAACAAUUACAAGAUAAAACUUUUGACAGCUAACUGAAGGACAAUGGGGAAAUAAUUCAACUGAAGCUAAAUUAAUCUACUACAUCUUUAUUUUUAUUAGAAACCAUUAAAAAUAUUUUCAUCAUCACUUAUUCAACUUCACUUACCCAUGUACACCGGACAGUCACUAUGAAGCAAAUAGUCCAAAUCGUCAAGCUGAAAAAAAAGUAAAAACUUAAAACCUCGUGUUAAACAAUAAAAUAAUGACGUAACAUAUACAAUAAGAAAUCACAUUAAUCACUAAUAUCAAAACCCAAUGCUCUAAAUGUUAAACUUUCAUCACACUAACCCAAAAUAAUUUUGUUUAAACAAUACUCACGUCACAAAUAAACGGUAGCAAGACUACCUUAAGACAAAGUCAAGUCAAAGUCAAAGUUUUCGCGGGAAUUAUAGGUUCAAUACUAUCUUUCUCCGUUUCAAAACAAUUUAAAAAAAUGGAAUUUGGGAAAAAGAAGAACUAUGCAGAGUUU